AAGUCUAUGCAUACCACCCUGAAUGCGCCCGAUCUUGUCUGAUGUCGGAAGCUAAGCAGGGUAAGGCCUGAUUAGUACUUGGAUGGGAGAAAAGCACUAAUAAGCCAAGCUACACACCUU
rnacentral:rRNA from 1 species